UUCCAGUACAAACAUUUCUGUGAGGACAUCCAGACCUGUCAGUACCGCUCACUAGAGGUUCUACUGGGCUCUGACUACGGCCCACCAGCAGACAUCUGGAGUGUAGCCUGCUUGGCGUUUGAGUUGGUCACUGGAGAUUCAUUGUUUGAGCCCAAAGCUGGGAAGACCUUUUCCUUAGAGGAAGACCACAUCGCUCAUAUAAUUGAUCUCCUUGGCAAAAUCCCAGCAGCAGUAGCCUUGUCUGGGAAAUAUUCAGUGGAGUACUUCAAUCGCAGAGGUGAGUGAAGGACAUUGCAUUGAAAACAGUCAAAUUAUUCGAAACUUAGAGAAAGGACUGUUUGAUGUGACAAAUUAUUGUGUUUAAUUUAAGAAAAAACUACAUCAAAUACUUUUUCUCUCCAAGUCAAAAAGCUUCCUUCUAUUCACCUCUACUCUCUUUCCCCUCCUCCCUCUGUUUCAC